UACGGGGGGGGCAAGCGUUGUUCGGAAUUACUGGGCGUAAAGGGCUCGUAGGCGGCCAACUAAGUCAGACGUGAAAUCCCCAGGCUCAACCUGGGAACUGCGUCUGAUACUGGAUGGCUUGAAUCCGGGAGAGGGAUGUGGAAUUCCAGGUGUAGCGGUGAAAUGCGUAGAUAUCUGGAGGAACAUCGGUGGCGAAGGCGACAUCCUGGACCGGUAUUGACGCUGAGGCGCGAAAGCCAGGGGAGCAAACGGG
rnacentral:rRNA from 1 species